GAAUUAGGUUAAAUAAACCUCUAGCCUUCAAAGCUGGGAUUGGGGCAACCCAUUCACUA
rnacentral:tRNA from 1 species